CCUACGGGAGGCAGCAGUGAGGAAUAUUGGUCAAUGGACGAGAGUCUGAACCAGCCAAGUAGCGUGAAGGAUGACUGCCCUAUGGGUUGUAAACUUCUUUUAUAUGGGAAUAAAAUGUUCCACGUGUGGGAUUUUGUAUGUACCAUAUGAAUAAGGAUCGGCUAACUCCGUGCCAGCAGCCGCGGUAAUACGGAGGAUCCGAGCGUUAUCCGGAUUUAUUGGGUUUAAAGGGAGCGUAGGUGGAUUGUUAAGUCAGUUGUGAAAGUUUGCGGCUCAACCGUAAAAUUGCAGUUGAAACUGGCAGUCUUGAGUACAGUAGAGGUGGGCGGAAGUCGUGGUGUAGCGGUGAAAUGCUUAGAUAUCACGAAGAACUCCGAUUGCGAAGGCAGUUCACUGGACUGCAACUGACACUGAGGCUCGAAAGUGUGGGUAUCAAACAGGAUUAGAUACCGCAGUAGUC
rnacentral:rRNA from 1 species